CCCAGGUCAGGCGGGGCUACCCGCUGAAUUUAAGCAUAUCAAU
rnacentral:rRNA from 1 species